rnacentral:rRNA from 1 species
UACGUAGGGGGCUAGCGUUGUUCGGAAUUACUGGGCGUAAAGCGUGCGCAGGCGGCUUCUCAAGUCAGGGGUGAAAGCCCAGAGCUCAACUCUGGAACUGCCUUUGAUACUGAAGAUCUUGAGUCCGGGAGAGGUGAGUGGAACUGCGAGUGUAGAGGUGAAAUUCGUAGAUAUUCGCAAGAACACCAGUGGCGAAGGCGGCUCACUGGCCCGGUACUGACGCUGAGGCACGAAAGCGUGGGGAGCAAACAGG